GGCUCAGUGGUGUAGUGGUAUGAUUCUCGCUUUGGGUGCGAGAGGCCACGGGUUGCAUUCCCGUCUGAGCCC
rfam:Nematostella vectensis strain CH2 x CH6 NEMVEscaffold_39_Cont6475, whole genome shotgun sequence.